UUGCUGGUGGUAACAGAGAUCCUGGU
rnacentral:piRNA from 1 species